rnacentral:rRNA from 1 species
UAGUCCACGCCGUAAACGAUGUCUACUUGGAGGUUGUGGCCUUGAGCCGUGGCUUUCGGAGCUAACGCGUUAAGUAGACCGCCUGGGGAGUACGGUCGCAAGAUUAAAACUCAAAUGAAUUGACGGAGGCCCGCACAAGCGGUGGAGCAUGUGGUUUAAUUCGAUGCAACGCGAAGAACCUUACCUACUCUUGACAUCCAGAGAAGCUUGAAGAGAUUCGAGUGUGCCUUCGGGAACUCUGAGACAGGUGCUGCAUGGCUGUCGUCAGCUCGUGUUGUGAAAUGUUGGGUUAAGUCCCGCAACGAGCGCAACCCUUAUCCUUGUUUGCCAGCGAGUAAUGUCGGGAACUCCAGGGAGACUGCCGGUGAUAAACCGGGAGGAAGGGUGGGGACGACGUCAAGUCAUCAUGGCCCUUACGAGUAGGGGCUACACACGUGCUACAAUGGCGCGUACAGAGGGCAGCGAACUUGCGAGAGUGAGCGAAUCCCAAAAAGU